GAACUUAGCUUGCUAAGUUUGAUGGCGACCGGCGCACGGGUGAGUAACACGUAUCCAACCUGCCGAUGACUCGGGGAUAGCCUUUCGAAAGAAAGAUUAAUACCCGAUGGCAUAGUUCUUCCGCAUGGUAGAACUAUUAAAGAAUUUCGGUCAUCGAUGGGGAUGCGUUCCAUUAGGUUGUUGGCGGGGUAACGGCCCACCAAGCCUUCGAUGGAUAGGGGUUCUGAGAGGAAGGUCCCCCACAUUGGAACUGAGACACGGUCCAAACUCCUAUGGGAGGCAGCAGUGAGGAAUAUUGGUCAAUGGACGAGAGUCUGAACCAGCCAAGUAGCGUGAAGGAUGACUGCCCUAUGGGUUGUAAACUUCUUUUAUACGGGAAUAAAGUGAGGCACGUGUGCCUUUUUGUAUGUACCGUAUGAAUAAGGAUCGGCUAACUCCGUGCCAGCAGCCGCGGUAAUACGGAGGAUCCGAGCGUUAUCCGGAUUUAUUGGGUUUAAAGGGAGCGUAGGCGGACGCUUAAGUCAGUUGUGAAAGUUUGCGGCUCAACCGUAAAAUUGCAGUUGAUACUGGGUGUCUUGAGUACAGUAGAGGCAGGCGGAAUUCGUGGUGUAGCGGUGAAAUGCUUAGAUAUCACGA
rnacentral:rRNA from 1 species